UAUACACCACUGGUAACGAUACUUGGCUCUAUACACACAUGAGUAAUGAUAACUUGGCUCUAUUACACCACAUGGGUAACGAUAACUUGGCUCUAUACACACACUGAGUAAUGUAACUUGGCUCUAUACACACACUGGUAGAAACGGUAUACACGCACACUGGCUCUAUACACACACUGAGUAACGAUAACUUGGCUCUAUACACACACUGAGUAACGAUAACUUGGCUCUAUACACACACUGUGGUAACGAUAACUUGGCUCUAUACACACACUGGGUAAGAUAAUUGGCUCUAUACACGGGGGUACCCAGUAUUGAGUCAGUGUGUAGGGUACGAGGUAAGGGGGGUCCUAUGUAGAAAGUCUGGGUAGCUGCUGGCUAAACUAUUUAUCAGUCAUUACGGCUUGGGAAGAAGCUGGUCAGGGUCCUGUUGGUUCCAGACUUGGUGCAUCGGUACACUUGCCGUGCAGUAGCAGAGUGAGAGAACAGUCUAUGACGGGUGGCUUAGUCUGACAAUUUUUAGGGCCUUCCUCUGACACCGUCUGGUAUAGAGGUCCUGAUGCAGGAAGCUUGGCCCCAGUGUAUGUACUGGGCCGUACGCACUACCCUCUGUAGCGCCUUGCGGCGAGGCCGAGUGAAGUCCGUACCAAGCGGUGAUCCAGCCAGUCAAGAUGCGCUCAACUGUGCAACUGUAGAACUUUUGGAGGAUCUGGGGACUCAUGCCAAAUAUUUUCAGCCUGCGAGGGGGAAGACGCUUUGUCUGCCUUAUUGUUCUGUGUCCCAGUUGUUACAGCCUUCUGUCUGUGUGCUCCAGCCUUCUGUCUGUGUGUUCCAGCCUUCUAUCUCUCUGUGUGCUCCAGCCUUCUAUCUCUCUGUGUGUUCCAGCCUUCUAUCUAUCUGUGUGUUCCAGCCUCUAUCUCUCUGUG
rnacentral:lncRNA from 1 species